rnacentral:rRNA from 1 species
GACGAACGCUGGCGGCGUGCCUAAUACAUGCAAGUCGAACGCAGUGGGGACGGGUGAGUAACACGUGGGUAACCUCCCAUCAGAGGGGAUAACACUUGGAAACAGGUGCUAAACCGAUACUGAUGGAUGGACCCGCGGUGCAUUAGCUAGUUGGUGCGGUCACGGCUCACCAAGGCCACGAUGCAUAGGCGACCGGUGAGGGUGCUCGGCCACAGUGGGAGUGAGACGCGGCCCAAACUCCUACGGGAGGCAGCAGUGGUGAGUCUGAGGCAAUGGACGAAAGUCUGACCGAGCAAUGCCGCGUGAGUGAAGAAGAGUUUGGGAUCGUAAAACUCAGUUGUGAGGGAAGCGGUAUCUAACCGGAAAGCCACGGCUAGCUACGUGCCAGCAGCCGCGGUAAUUC